GUGUCCGAGGCAGCCGGUACGUUCACUGUGAAAAAAUUAGAGUGCUCAGAGUGAGCCCCGCCGGCUUGCAUACGAAAAGCAUGGAAUGAUGGAAUAGAGAACGAAAGAGCACAAGUCUG